CACGUUAUACAAUAAACAAUCUGAUACGCAGUGGAUGCAAUUAUUUUUGGUUCAGAGACAUCAUAAUAAAAAAUAAUCAUUUGUCCUCACUUGUGGCAUCAUUAUGGGCAACAACAGAAUAUUAGUCAAUACAAUUUUAUAAUUCAAAUUGUUGUUAGAUGUGCCAUUGACAGUAGAAACAACUCUUCUCUUUUUAACCAACCAUGAUAAGGAGAGAUAAAUGAAGAUUAUAUGCAGUCCACAAGCCCUAUAU